UACGUAGGGGGCGAGCGUUGUCCGGAUUUAUUGGGCGUAAAGAGCGUGUAGGCGGCUAGGUAGGUCCGUUGUGAAAACUCGAGGCUCAACCUCGAGACGUCGAUGGAAACCAUCUAGCUAGAGUCCGGAAGAGGAGAGUGGAAUUCCUGGUGUAGCGGUGAAAUGCGCAGAUAUCAGGAAGAACACCCGUGGCGAAGGCGGCUCUCUGGUACGUGACUGACGCUAAGACGCGAAAGCGUGGGGAGCGAACAGG
rnacentral:rRNA from 1 species